GACGAACGCUGGCGGCGUGCUUAACACAUGCAAGUCGAACGGAAAGGCCCUGCUUGCAGGGUACUCGAGUGGCGAACGGGUGAGUAACACGUGGGUGAUCUGCCCUGCACUUCGGGAUAAGCCUGGGAAACUGGGUCUAAUACCGGAUAGGAGCCAUUUUUAGUGUGAUGGUUGGAAAGUUUUUUCGGUGUAGGAUGAGCUCGCGGCCUUUCAGCUUGUUGGUGGGGUAAUGGCCUACCAAGGCGGCGACGGGUAGCCGGCCUGAGAGGGUGGACGGCCACAUUGGGACUGAGAUGCGGCCCAGACUCCUACGGGAGGCAGCAGUGGGGAAUAUUGCACAAUGGGCGCAAGCCUGAUGCAGCGACGCCGCGUGGGGGAUGGUGGCCUUCGGGUUGUAAACUCCUUUCGCUAGGGACGAAGCUUUUGUGACGGUACCUAGAUAAGAAGCACCGGCUAACUACGUG
rnacentral:rRNA from 1 species